AAUUAAUGAAAUAUUGCAGAGUUAAAAGCUGUAAAGGCAAUGAUGCUGUGUUUUACACUUUUGUCAGUAAAAAGCACCUGAAUCCCAGCUACAGUAUAAGCCACAGUGAUAUCAAAUCAGCCAGGAACACCAAGGCACAAUUAUUCCCUGAAUUGUGCAGUGCACAGCAAGGCAGUGCACUACAUACUCAUAAGCCAGUCAUUAACGUGAAAGCUGAGUGCCAAACGUUAAGCAGCAGUUAUACCUGUAUGUGCAAUGCAAAGCACUGGCAAAUGUGUUUCAUGUUGCUGGAGAGAGCAGUAAGAAUGGGGGUGUGGCAUGUUCCCUUUAAGUACCUUUCAAACAAAUUAUUACUUACGAAUU